ensembl:lncRNA
GGACGGCACUGGCACAGGCCACCCCAGGAUUUAUCACUCAGCGACAGUCACGCCUGGGCAGGGGACAGAUGUUUCUGUUUACCCCAGGGCAACAUCUGACUGGCCGGGCCUGACGGCGGGCUAACCGGGCGCCGCACGCGCAGGACAGAGACUCACGGAGGGAAAGGAGGAAUAAGAGGCAGAGAAAGGAGGACGAAACUGGAGAAUGUGCAGUUUGCCCCCCCGAGGCGCAGAGAAAAAAAAGACAAUGUGCAAGAAAGGCAAAAACCAAAAGGGAUUUAACCUUUCACUGGUAGCAGCUCAUCCACUCUUUGGUCAGAGCACCUGUCGAUAGACCAUCCAUGUGAAGAAAUGCAAAGUGUCUUUGUCACCUGUGGACAGCCAAGAGGGCUAAUUUGGGCUUUUCACUAAUUGCCACGGUAACGAGCCUCCUGCGCCUCCGCUGGGGGUGGGUGUAAGGCAUGGCAGGAGGAGGACUGGAGGAUGGAAGGAUGCAAAGAUGGAGGGAUGAAGACACAGCUCUCCUCACACGCGGCCGAGGUGUGAAAGAACGCGGCAGGCCAACAGAACGCAGCCUGGAGGAGUCCAACAGCAGGGAGUGGGGGACAGCCUGCGCUGUGAAAAAAGCCCCAACACCCAGCUGAGAGGGAGGAGGAUUCAGCUCUGGCCAGUUUUGGUCUCUCAACUUUGAUGAGGAGAUGAGGAGAUGAGUUUGAUAAUUGUUUGACAGUUUUUCGGACACUGACACCUGUUACUGCGGCCACCCGAUUUUGCUGGUUCCUACACAAUAUACUUUUUUUUCUUUCUUUCUCUUCUUUUAAUAAAUGUUUUGUAGGUCUAACUCAGCAGGCAGUUUUUAAAUUGGCGGUUUGACGUGUAUAAAGACUGUGUGUGAGAGGUAGGAGGGGAUGGUGACGGAGAUUAUCCCAAUUAAAAUAUUUGUUCAUGAUUCUGUUUUUGUCAUUAGUCAA